rnacentral:rRNA from 1 species
UACGAAGGGAGCUAGCGUUGUUCGGAAUCACUGGGCGUAAAGGGCGCGUAGGUGGCUUGGUAAGCGUGUGGUGAAAGCCCGGGGCUCAACCCCGGGUCUGCCAUGCGAACUGCUAUGGCUUGAGCACUGUAGAGGCAGGUAGAAUUCCGGGUGUAGCGGUGGAAUGCGUAGAGAUCCGGAAGAAUACCGGUGGCGAAGGCGGCCUGCUGGGCAGUGGCUGACACUGAGGCGCGACAGCGUGGGGAGCAAACAGG